rnacentral:rRNA from 1 species
GUCUACGGCCGUGCCACCCUGAACAAGCCUGAUCCUGUCUGAUCUCAGAAGCUAAGCAGGGUCAGGCCUAGUUAGUGCUUGGAUGGGAGACCAUCUAAGAAGACCAGGUGCUGUAGGUG